UGACACUAUUUUAAUGAUUUUUCUUUAUUACUUGGUCCAAGUCUAUAUCUUUAAUCAAUAUAUUCAGAGGAAUUACCAUUUACAGUGAAUAUAAGCAGGAAUACAAUAGUAAUAAUUAUGUUUUGUGUAUUACCAACAGCAAUCUUUAG